rnacentral:rRNA from 1 species
CCCUUAGAUGUUCUGGGCCGCACGCGCGCUACACUGACGAAUGCAACGAGCUUAUAACCUUGGCCGAAAGGUCUGGGUAAUCUCCAAAUUUCGUCGUGAUGGGGAUAGAUUAUUGCAAUUAUUAAUCUUCAACGAGGAAUGCCUAGUAAGCGCAAGUCAUCAGCUUGCGUUGAUUACGUCCCUGCCCUUUGUACACACCGCCCGUUGCUCCUACCGAUUGAAUGGUCCGGUGAAGCGUUCGGACCGUGGCCUUUGGACGGUUCGCCGUCUGUUGGCUGCGGGAAGUUCGUUAAACCUUAUCAUUUAGAGGAAGGAGAANUCGUAACA